UACGUAGGGAGCAAGCGUUGUUCGGAUUUACUGGGCGUAAAGGGCGCGUAGGCGGCAUGACAAGUCACUUGUGAAAUCUCUGGGCUUAACCCAGAACGGCCAAGUGAUACUGUCGCGCUAGAGUGCGGAAGGGGCAAUCGGAAUUCUCGGUGUAGCGGUGAAAUGCGUAGAUAUCGAGAGGAACACCUGAGGUGAAGACGGGUUGCUGGGCCGACACUGACGCUGAGGAGCGAAAGCGUGGGGAGCGAACAGG
rnacentral:rRNA from 1 species